rnacentral:rRNA from 1 species
GACAGAGGGGGCAAGCGUUGCUCGGAAUUACUGGGCGUAAAGGGCGCGGAGGCGGGAUGGCAAGUCGGUCGUGAAAUCCCUCGGCUCAACCGAGGAACGUCGAUCGAUACUGCUGUUCUUGAGGAUUGCAGAGGAGACUGGAAUUCCCGGUGUAGCGGUGAAAUGUGUAGAGAUCGGGAGGAACACCGGUGGCGAAGGCGGGUCUCUGGGCAAUUCCUGACGCUGAGGCGCGAAAGUGUGGGGAGCGAACAGG